rnacentral:rRNA from 1 species
AUUGAACGCUGGCGGCAGGCCUAACACAUGCAAGUCGGACGGUAGCACAGGGGAGCUUGCUCCUCGGGUGACGAGUGGCGGACGGGUGAGUAAUGUCUGGGGAUCUGCCCGAUAGAGGGGGAUAACCACUGGAAACGGUGGCUAAUACCGCAUAAUGUCGCAAGACCAAAGAGGGGGACCUUCGGGCCUCUCACUAUCGGAUGAACCCAGAUGGGAUUAGCUAGUAGGCGGGGUAACGGCCCACCUAGGCGACGAUCCCUAGCUGGUCUGAGAGGAUGACCAGCCACACUGGAACUGAGACACGGUCCAGACUCCUACGGGAGGCAGCAGUGGGGAAUAUUGCACAAUGGGCGCAAGCCUGAUGCAGCCACGCCGCGUGUAUGAAGAAGGCCUUCGGGUUGUAAAGUACUUUCAGCGGGGAGGAAGGCGAUGUGGUUAAUAACCGCGUCGAUUGACGUUACCCGCAGAAGAAGCACCGGCUAACUCCGUGCCAGCAGCCGCGGUAA